GAUGAACGCUGGCGGCGUGCCUAAUACAUGCAAGUCGAGCGAACAGACGAGGAGCUUGCUCCUCUGACGUUAGCGGCGGACGGGUGAGUAACACGUGGAUAACCUACCUAUAAGACUGGGAUAACUUCGGGAAACCGGAGCUAAUACCGGAUAAUAUAUUGAACCGCAUGGUUCAAUAGUGAAAGACGGUUUUGCUGUCACUUAUAGAUGGAUCCGCGCCGCAUUAGCUAGUUGGUAAGGUAACGGCUUACCAAGGCAACGAUGCGUAGCCGACCUGAGAGGGUGAUCGGCCACACUGGAACUGUAACACGGUCCAGACUCCUACGGGAGGCACCAGUAGGGAAUCUUCCGCAAUGGGCGAUGGCCUGACGGAGCAACGCCGCGUGAGUGAUGAAGGUCUUCGGAUCGUAAAACUCUGUUAUUAGGGAAGAACAAAUGUGUAAGUAACUAUGCACGUCUUGACGGUACCUAAUCAGAAAGCCACGGCUAACUACGUG
rnacentral:rRNA from 1 species